AGCGAACGGCCCCGGUGGCCUAGUGUGUUACGGGGAGGGGGCGGGGCUAGACGCGGCCUUGACAACCAUCCGAUCGCUCGAGCCGGGCAACUUGGAGACUACAUCUCCCAGGGGUCCCUGCGCGGCGCGAAGGGAAGGGGAAGCGUCUCGAGGCCAGUGCGCAGGCUCGAGAGCCUCCUGUGGCUAUAUAAGUGAGGU
rfam:Loxodonta africana unplaced genomic scaffold scaffold_19, whole genome shotgun sequence.